UGGCUAUGGCAGGCUUGUGUCUCCUUUCUUGUCCUCUCUCCUCCAGGAACCUUUGGCUAAGUUAGGGCUGCACCUGGGAGUUUGUUUACCAACACAGUCCUUGGUUUCCCUGUCACGACUCAGCUCAAGGGCAUCACCAUGACCUUGAGGAUUAAGUAUCACCCAAAGAUUGACUAGGCCCCCUUCAAGCCUGGAAGAGACACCUUGGGAUGAUUUCAGGCAAGGCCUUGUAGAAAGAACCCGCUUGGCAUCAUUUCACGGCAAAAACAAAUCAAAAGCAAACUGUGGAUACAAGUUGGCCCAGGGGACUUCUACAGUAUAAGCCCCACAUGAACACAAAGUGGUAACUAAACCCACAGAAGAGCUUCGGUUCAAAGCUCCAAAUCCCUGUGGGUGCUAAUCCUGUUCCUUCCUUCACACGAGCCUGUCCGCCCAUUUUGGCAGAGUGUGUAAACCAAAAUCUCCUAGACGGACCUCUCAAGUCACUCAUCUGGCCCUAGUGACCUCAAGAUUAAGGCGAGAUUUGUUCUAGGAAUAUUCUGAUUUCAGAAGAUGGAUCCAACUGUAUCAUUAAAUCAACGCGUUAACAAA